GCCCGGAAACGGGGGGCCGGGCGAGAGGGAACCCGGUGGGAAUCCGGGACUGUCCCGCAGCGGUAAACAGGAACGAAUGCCGUCACGAGCACUGGGUACCCCAACCCGGAAAGCGACGGUUAGUAGGUCGGCCGACAACGGCCGGUGCCUGUGAGUCCGAAGACCUGC
rfam:Nocardia brasiliensis ATCC 700358, complete genome.